AUGGCGAAUAGCGUGGCACUAUCACUACAACAGAAUUAGAUUAUAGGGACACAUGUUUGGGACACUUUGGAGUAAGUAUCGCAUUUAUGCUAAGACUUAAAAGCACAUCUACUAAUGCCUAAAUAUAAAGCCCAAUCCAACCAAAAAUAAAAGAUUACUCUACUCAACCCACCACACCCAGUCCAUUUGGCCCGAUUACAAACAGAAAAGAAAAAAAAAAGAAAAAUCAAUUACCAUCUUUUUUUCUCUCUUUACUCAAUCAACUGAAAUUCUAGACGAAGAGCCUUUACUGUCGUCCUUUUCCGCCACCGCAGCCAACGAGAUAGAGUUUCGGUGGUUGCUAAAUGCUUAAAUAAGUGUUGGUAAAUUAGCAGCCCUCUUUUAGGUUAUAGCGACACUCUUUAACUGUCACUAUAUACCUAGCGACCCCACAUAUAGCAACACUUUUUAAAAGUGUCGGUAAUUUUAGCUAGCAGCACUUUUUUGACAUGUACCUACAUUUAAAAGUGUUGCUAUAGACCAUUUUUGUUGUAGUGUAUUUGGUUCGCAUUCUGACGAAACAACUGACAUGACUUACCGUGGCGGGCAUUUAAUGCUUGUAGGGGCGGGGCGGACGGAGAGCACGCGGAUUUUCGUCCGAGAACAUAAAAUCCGAAAACCAAAUAUGAAAAAAUGAAAAAUAUGGCUCAUUUUUACUAAUUAAAUCUCAAAACUGCCAAUUUAAUUUUUUAAUACAAAUUACCUUUUUUUUCCUUUAAUAAAUAGGUAAAGUCUCAAAAUUCCGUCCAAUCCAUUUAUUAAACCAACUCUAAUAAGUGUACGUCGACUAGUCGUACCACAUCUUAUUUUAUUUUAUAAUCUAUUUUUUUAACACACUAUAUUGUUUAAGGGCCAAUUUGCAUAAAAAAUCAACUUAUUUUGGGCUUUUGCAAAACGGGGCCACCUUUUUCGUUUUUGCAAAUUCGGUCCGCUUUUUCAGCAAACUGACCAAAAUACCCUUAUUACUUUUUCUCUUUCCUCUUUCUCUCUUCUCUUCGUUUUCUCGUUCUUUUUUUUUUUCGCCGAAAAAAAAAAGCGACGGCCGGAGCACCGCCAGGCGGCCUCUUCUUCUUCUUCUUCUUCUUCCUGCAGGAGCAAUUUUUUUUCUCUUUUUCUUUUUCUUCUUCUUCUUCUUCCUCCUGCUGGAGCUUUUUUUUUUUGUCCCUCUUCUUCUUCUUCUUCUUCUUCUUCUUCUUCUUUUUCUUCCUGUAAGAGCACAGGGCGCCCACGGCGACUUCCAGCCUC
rnacentral:lncRNA from 1 species